AUGCUCCCAGGUGGUUGGGGCAUCCCUGGGGAGAUGCCACCACGGCUGCCCCUUACACCACCCCUUCCCGAGGACCAGGAUGCCCUCCCACCCUCCCCACCGCAUCCCCAUCCCAGGGGCGCAUCGCUGCGAGCACCGAGCCCCCUGCAAGGAUGCUGUACCUGGGGUCAGCGGCGUGGUCCAGCCGGGGGGGUUGUUGCCAAGCAACCCGUCUCCCCCCGCCGGGUUUCCAUGGCGAUGGCGAUGCUGCCGAGGCGGGCUGGGAGCCAGGCAGAUGCUGAAUUUCACAAAGCUGCACCCCUGCCCCAAAGCUCGGCGCAAGCCUGCAGGCACGGGGCUGCAAGCGGCGCAGGAGCUCCUGCAGCCAAAAGUGGGGCAGGAGCUGGGUGCUCCGUGGGGAGGCAGCGGGUGGGCGCACGUGGGUACGUGAGGGGACCUUGGCAGCCCGUCAGACCCCUGGGAGCAGGGCUGAAGAAAGCCAGCUUGAAAGCUUGGAGCUUCACUGAGUGUUAUCGGUGCCUUUGGACGUGGAGCAGGGGAGCACUCGGGAUCCCGGCGCUGGUGGCUCCAAUGGAGCCGGCGGCUGCAGCGAGCGCCUUGCCGAGGAGCAGCCAGCCACGAAGCCGUGCCAGGUGGGACCGGGCCUGCCAAAAUAAACCAGGGAGUAUUUUUAGCAGGUCGGAACGAGCAGCACGCCGGCUCGCUGGAUGCAGGGCACGCGGGAGCAGAUGGCGUACGAGCUUCUCCCGCUGCGGUCCCCGCACAAACACCUCCGUCCUGAGCCACCUCGAGGGCUGGAAUUGA
rnacentral:lncRNA from 1 species